CACGUAGGGUGCGAGCGUUUGUCCGGAAUUAUUGGGCGUAAAGAGCUCGUAGGCGGUUUGUCGCGUCUGCUGUGAAAACUCGGGGCUUAACCCCGGGCCUGCAGUGGGUACGGGCAGACUAGAGUGCGGUAGGGGAGACUGGAAUUCCUGGUGUAGCGGUGAAAUGCGCAGAUAUCAGGAGGAACACCGGUGGCGAAGGCGGGUCUCUGGGCCGUAACUGACGCUGAGGAGCGAAAGCGUGGGGAGCGAACAGG
rnacentral:rRNA from 1 species